rnacentral:rRNA from 1 species
AAUAUUGGACAAUUGGGGGAACCCUGAUCCAGCCAUCCCGCGUGUGUGAAUACGGUCCUCGGAUUGUAAAGCACUUUAAGUUGGGAGGAAGAGUUGUAGGCUAAUACCUUGCAAUUUUGACGUUACCAACAGAAUAACCACCGGCUAACUCCGUGCCAGCAGCCGCGGUAAUACGAAGGGUGAAAGCGUUAAUCGGAAUUACUGGGCGUAAAGCGGGCGUAGGUGGUUCGUUAAGUUGGAAGUGAAAGCCCCGGGCUUAACCUGGGAAUUGCUUUCAAAACUGACGAGCUAGAGUACGGUAGAGGGUAGUGGAAUUUCCUGUGUAGCGGUGAAAUGCGUAGAUAUAGGAAGGAACAUCAGUGGCGAAGGCGACUACCUGGACUGAUACUGACACUGAGGUGCGAAAGCGUGGGGAGCAAACAGG